ACCAUCUGAUGCAGCACAACUAAAAGUCUCAGCUCUAUAAGGCAAAAAUUGGAAAGGUUCAGGAAUGAGAUUGGUAAAGACAUAGCCUGUACUUUGUGUGGAUCUUUACAGUGCGCUCAUUUUGUCAAUAGCAAAUAGUAGAAUUGAAUCAAAACUUAAAUAUCUUCCUACAGAGUGUUGCCAGCUAUUUGCCUUGAUAAUAAUCUACCAAACAUCUAUCCUAUAACAGAAAAACUUCAAACAAUUGGACCUGUAUUGGCAGAAUUUGUUGUUUAUGCAAAACUUAUAAACUGUAUAACAUACCCUAUGUUUGAUGCCACGAUGAUCUGGGGUCCACAAGUCUAAGGUUUUAAAUUUGGCCCAGGAUGUGGGGAGAGUUUAAUGACAGGCAUCCAGGUUGUGGAAAGGACAAGCAUACUGGAGUGCCUGUAGAGAGGCCUUUGGAGAGAGAAGAAAAAGCAGGAAUUAAAGGCUGGACUGGAACUUGGCCUACAUUGCUCAUGUGAAGAACUAAGGGGGAUGAAGGGGACUCCACUUGCAUUUCUGCUUGGACUACUUACAUGUCGGGCCCAUGGCAUGAAGGUAUUUCACUACUCUGAGGGAUUUUUCUCCCCCUGAAGCUCAAGCAAAGAAAUGGAAGGGACAAACUACCAAAAGAAGCAAUGAUCCCUGUAUUUCUGCACUCACCAGAAGGAGGAAAUACUUGAAAUCUAGUGACGCAAGGUUCUGGCUAACCUGUUGCCCUGAGGAAGAUGUUGGAAAAACAAACAAACUUUUUGUGCAGUUACAAAAAGACCUGGUAGCAUUCUUUCAUAACUCCUAUUAUUGCAUUAAUGACAACUUUCUUAUAUCAAAAGAAGAAGGAAACUUUGUAAUUCUUGGAAUAAACAUCCAUAUUCUACAUUCCUUCAACAAAGAUGCACAAAAGUAAGUGACAUAUUCAUCCCAAUAUAUUGUGAACAGUUGAUAAGUCUAUGGUAAAAUGUUAUGUAGUUGCUAAAUUUAGCUGAACUGUGGCUUGUACCCUGAAUUUUGAUUCCUAAGUGAGGACCAGUCACUGACUGGAACUGAAAUAUAAGAUAAAUGUAUAACUUUGACUAGAGGGGAGAUGGGUCAUUUGAUUAAUUUAAUACAUGCAAGAUUAAUAUUUUAUCCCCAUGUUUGUUUUAAUCCAUGUUUUGUGAAAGGAAAAAGGUAUAACUAUCACUUAACUAGUUCAGGCUUCAGGACUAGUUCAGGAAUUAUGCUCCAUGUUUGUUCAUUUCUUAACCAGAAUGUCACACCAAUUUCACUUUAUUUUGUGCCCCUUUUGGCUGAUUAUGCAGGUGAUAGGUUGCCAAACUAAUCUAACAUGAACUGACAUGGCCUAACACUGGUUCUAGCAUAAGCAGAAAUUGGUAUAAAAGUGGAUGCAAAUGAAGACACAUAAGUUGUCACAAAUGUCAUCUGCACAUCUACUUGCUUAUUUUACACAGUCUUUUUGAAGCUUAAUUAAUGUAAGUUCACUGUGAUACUGUUAGAUGGAAGGUGUUAUGUACUACAAAUGAAAAAAUAUUGUUAUGUUGAAAUGGCUAGUUUGUGUUUUGCUAAGGGGUUGAAUGCAGCUUUCAAGAAGUGCUGGAACGCAAGUACUCGACGGGCUGCAAGAUGCCAUUCUGGCUUAAAAAAACCCAAUGUUGCCGGAACAGCAUCUCAGAGUGUUCCAGCAGGAUUUGAGCACUGGUUUUACAGCCCUCCACUGCAUGGACUCAGCACUCAGGUGUCAGACCAUGUAUUACUAACAGCUAAUGAUGAUUCUCCUGUAACUCAAGUGGUAGGAAUAUAUGCUUUUGGUGCAAGAUCUGGGUUCUAUCCCAGCUGUUGCUGUAAUGUUAUAAAUGACCUUUGUGGGAAGCAUAGUAAAAAACAUGAAAUGUUAAUGUCAGCAGGUUGUGACAAUAUAGUCAAUAGGGCAUUUACUAUCCGUUAUGUGGCUAUGCUGAGGACCUGACGUGAAUGUUUACGUCAUUUGUUCAAAGUUGCUUUCCAGUCAAUGUUACAACACAGCCCAGUGAACUCUCCUAUAUAUCCCUUUCAUCCAUUAUAAAUCCCAAACUUUCUUUAAGUCAUUUUAACAAUAGUGGACAGUAGAAAUAGCUGAAAGCUUUUAUUUAUAUAAAGCUGUGUCAGGUGACAACUGAUUCAUUGCUAGGGACAAAAUGAAAAACAGCCACUUUCGCUUGCUGUGUUUUUUGACUGCCCGAUUAUGAUCAAUUCUGCUUUUCUGGAAUGAACACUGUAUAGUUUGUUGGGGUGAGAUCUUAAUCACUUAAUCCUACUCUUUUUGGAGAAAGUUUCCAAAGGAGUUCAUCUUCCGCUUUUCCAAUUUUUCAGUGGGCAAAGUUCUUGGAAAAAGCAAAACCAGUCAUUACCAGAAUGUUCAGGCACUACUUACUCCCCCAGUGAAGAAUGACCCCCUGCCAAAUGCUGAAUUUCUACCCCCAUGUUUCAGUGCUAGAGCUAUUCAAAAUAAGGGUGCACAGUUGUUAAUAAUAAAUGCCAUUUUCACUCACCAUCUACUGAAAAAUGGCUUCAUUGCUUUUGUUCAGCGUUUUUAAAAGAAUUCACCUUCAGGCAGAAACCAAGCCUGGAGGAUGCCAUUUU